rnacentral:rRNA from 1 species
UACGUAGGGUGCAAGCGUUUAAUCGGAAUUACUGGGCGUAAAGCGUGCGCAGGCGGCUUUGCAAGACAGAUGUGAAAUCCCCCGGGCUCAACCUGGGAACUGCAUUUGUGACUGCAUGGCUGGAGUGCGGCAGAGGGGGGAUGGAAUUGCCGCGUGUAGCAGUGAAAUGCGUAGAUAUGUGGAGGAACACCGAUGGCGAAGGCAGCCCCCCUGGGGAUGUGACUGACGCUCAUGUACGAAAGCGUGGGGAGCAAACAGG